GACAGAGGGUGCAAACGUUGUUCGGAAUUAUUGGGCGUAAAGCGCGUGUAGGCGGCUUUGCAAGUCGGGUGUGAAAGCCCUCAGCUCAACUGAGGAAGUGCGCCCGAAACUGCAGAGCUUGAGUACCGGAGAGGAUGGCGGAAUUCCCCAAGUAGAGGUGAAAUUCGUAGAUAUGGGGAGGAACACCGGUGGCGAAGGCGGCCAUCUGGACGGAUACUGACGCUGAGACGCGAAAGCGUGGGGAGCAAACAGG
rnacentral:rRNA from 1 species